rnacentral:rRNA from 1 species
AGCUCUGAUAGUAUAUAUUAAAGUUGUUGCAGUUAAAAAGCUCGUAGUUGAAACUUGGGUGUGUAGGGGCGGUCUCUUUUAGAGUACUACCCUGAAACAUCUUUCUUUGGUGUAAACUCUUUAUUCACUUAAGGAGUGUAAACCAAACAUUUACUUUGAAAAAAUUAGAGUGUUCAAAGCAGGCCUUUGCUCGAAUAUAUUAGCAUGGAAUAAUAGAAUAGGACGUAUGGUUCUAUUUUGUUGGUUUCUAGGACCGUCGUAAUGAUUAAUAGGGACGGUCGGGGGCAUCAGUAUUCAGUUGUCAGAGGUGAAAUUCUUGGAUUUACUGAAGACUAACUACUGCGAAAGCAUUUGCCAAGGACGUUUUCA